CUGGCGGCGUGCUUAACACAUGCAAGUCGAACGGGAGUAUUGAAGAAGCUUGCUUUAGAGAUACUUUAGUGGCGGACGGGUGAGUAACGCGUGAGGAGCUGUCCUAUGCAGGGGGACAACAGCUGGAAACGGCUGCUAAUACCCCAUAAGCCGAGAGGUAAAAGGAUCAAUCCGGCAGAGGAGGUACUCGCGUCCUAUCAGCUAGUAGGUGAGGUAACGGCUCACCUAGGCGAAGACGGGGUAGCCGGCCUGAGAGGGCGAACGGCCACACUGGAACUGAGAUACGGUCCAGACUCCUACGGGAGGCAGCAGUGGGGAAUAUUGGGCAAUGGGGGGAAACCCUGACCCAGCGACGCCGCGUGGGUGAAGAAAUCCUUCGGGAUGUAAAGCCCUGUUGUAUGGGAAGAGCGGAAGACGGUACCAUACGAGGAAGCCCCGGCAAACUACGUGCCAGCCGCCGC
rnacentral:rRNA from 1 species